UGGGAUUAGAUACCCCACUAUGCCUAGCCGUAAAUAUUAACUCACAUCUACCAGCGCCAGGGAACUACGGGCCUAGCCUAAAACCCAAAGGACUUGACGGUGUCCCACCCGAUUAGAGGAGCCUGUUCUAUAAUCGAUAAUCCCCGCUCUACCCAACCUUUUUUUGCUUUUUCAGCCUGUAUACCUCCGUCGUAAACUCACCAUAUGAAUGUCUUAUAGUGCUGUUAAAUGUUUCACCAAUCAAAACGUCAGGUCAAGGUGCAGCCUAUAAAAAGGUAGUAAUGGGCUACAAUCUUCAAUUUUAAGCAAACAGAAUACUGUCUGAAACCCAGCUAUGAAGGUGGAUUUAAUAGUAAAGAGAAACUAG
rnacentral:rRNA from 1 species